AUAAAGGCCCUCCCCUUUCUUCGUCACAUCCUCUUUCAAGUAGGUGUCCUUGUUUUCGAGACACAUCUCCACAAGAUGAGAGCAAAGUGGAGGAAGAAGCGUAUGCGCAGGCUGAAGCGUAAAAGGCGAAAGAUGAGGCAGAGGUCAAAGUAGACUGGCCCAUCCCCUACAGCUGUGAUUCCAAGCCCUCCCUGUUUGACGCCUACAGUCCAUGAUUUGCAAAGAGCUGACCAUGGUUGUCUGAAGCCGAUCUCAUUGUGAUGGAGUGAAGGACAGAUCCCGCCUAACCAGCCCUCUACUCUGCCAAUGGCGGCUGGCCGUUGACUACUACUAGAGAAUGGCGAGGAAGACUUGAGAAUUAAUCUCCAGUCGUUGAACUCUGGCCUUUUACCACCUGCCUAGCACAGCUGAUUUGUUGUAAAGACCAUAAUAAAUAUUUGGUUUAUUAACUACA